AUACGAAGGUCCCAAGCGUUAUUCGGAAUCACUGGGCGUAAAGAGUACGUAGGCGGUUUGGUAAGUCAGGUGUGAAAUCCCGAAGCUCAACUUCGGAACUGCAUCCGAUACUGCCAGACUAGAGUAAUGGAGAGGCAGGUGGAAUUCUCGGUGUAGCAGUGAAAUGCGUGGAUAUCGAGAGGAAGGCCAAUGGCGAAGGCAGCCUGCUGGACAUUUACUGACGCUGAGGUACGAAGGCUAGGGGAGCGAAAGGGAUUAGAAACCCUAGUAGUCC
rnacentral:rRNA from 1 species